UACGUAGGGUGCAAGCGUUAAUCGGAAUUACUGGGCGUAAAGCGUGCGCAGGCGGUUCGGAGAGAAAGAUGUGAAAUCCCAGGGCUUAACCUUGGAACUGCAUUUUUAACUGCCGGGCUAGAGUAUGUCAGAGGGGGGUAGAAUUCCACGUGUAGCAGUGAAAUGCGUAGAGAUGUGGAGGAACACCGAUGGCGAAGGCAGCCCCCUGGGUCAAGAUUGACGCUCAUGCACGAAAGCGUGGGGAGCAAACAGG
rnacentral:rRNA from 1 species